UUCUACCUCAUAAAAAUAAAGAAGUCAUUAUGUACAGUAGAUAACUUUUGACAACAUUGUUUAUGACGGGAAAAGACCGGGGAGAAAUAAAAUUUCCACCAGAAGGGCUCUGGUUAAAUACUUAGUGCUGUAUCCAUAUCAAGAAUACUAUGCACAUUUAAAAAAGAAUAAGAUGAAAGAAAAAAAUGAAUAAGGGAGCUGCAUCAGUGCAAAUAUGGAAUGCUCUCCAAGAUAUCUUAUUCAGUGGAAAAGCAAAAAUGGUGUUCCCGUAUGUAUUAAAAUAUGAAAACAUAUUAUAUUUGUAUAUGCCUAAAAUAUGCCUGGAAAUACACAUAGUAAAUUGGCUCAUGGUGACUGUCUCUGAGGUGGGAGAGAUGACGGACUGGGGGUUUGGUGUGGGAGGGAGACAUUCUUGACUGCAUAGCAUUUUGUACUCUGACGUUUAAAAAAAUCAUAUGCAUACAUUACAUUUUCAAUUAAAAAUUUUUAAAGGAAUCUGGGUGAGAGAGCUGUGCUCAGUGUAUGUGAAGGAAGUUUAGGGUAUAAAACUCGUUCUGGUUGAGGACAGGCAGGGAUUGGAGCCAAUGGGGCAUAUCCAGGCUACACAUCAUCCUCUUACCCUCUGACUCCCUCCCCAGUCUUUACUUCAACUGGGGAUGGAAGUCUUACUGCUGAAAUGUCUUCUUCCCUUCUUGGCUGCCUCAGAUACAGUGAUGUGGCUUUGGGACCCUUCAGCUCAGAUGUGCUGGAACAUUUAGAGGAUUAUAAUAGUGACACUAAUAAUAGCUUAUAGUUCUUGGGCACUAACCAUGUACCAGGCCCUGGGAGUUUUUCAUGGACUAUUUUACAUAAGUUUUCAGAGGUACCAUAUGAGUUAGGUGUUAUUUUUAUCUCUAUCCUUAUAGAAGUGGUAACUGAGUUUCAGAGAGGCCAAGUCACCUGCCCACAGGGACAGUUAGGAACAGGCGGAGACUGUUAAGCACCAGAGUCCCUGUAUUAAAUUCCUUCCUGCUUGAAAUACUUGGGAUGGUUCCUGUCUUCCUGGUGGAAGCCUGAUUGAUACCAGGGAUAUUCAAGAGGAGGAGGUGACUCAAGAUGCUCAGAGGAUUUACGAGGGGGGAGAAUCCAUCUGAGGAGGGAGCAAGGAGCCCCUCCAAAGAGUCUGUAUAUAUGUGUGUGAGUGUUUUAUCCAUCGGGGCCUAAUCAGGAGACAGAAACCACAUGGUAAUUCCAACAGGGAAGGUAGACUAUCAAGAAUUAUUACCUAGUGACAGGAGAUUGACUACUUAGAGCUAAAAAGAACUCUAAACAUAUAGGAAGGAAUAAAAUGGGAGAGGUGUCUCUCUAAAGCUGAGAUUCAGGUCUCAUUGGAGAGGGUGUGGCUGGUGCCACUGAACAGUAUAAAAGUUCACAAAAGCCAAGGUCAAGUAGGUCAAGGCUGGUAAGCAGGAAACUGCCUAGUGGGGGGCCAACAAAACUCACCACUCACCUAGGUUUCGGUGUUGCACUCACCAGGAUGUCACUGGAGAGAACCUCAGCUUGUUGUGAAGCUGUCCCUUAGGUGCCUCUGAGACUCUCGAGAGGUUAGUGUCACCGGAUGUGCCCACGAGCGAGCAUUGCAGCAUUGAGGGAUCAAGAAAAGAGAAGACUCACCUUUUCCUGUGACGUCUCUCCGUCGCCCUCUACUGACAAAGCAUAACAUCGCGCACAGGCAAGAGGAAUGUUUAUAAGCUCUGGCUUCAUUACCAAGACCAAGGCAAUGAAGGGUAGGAUUGCAGCCCAGAGGCAGUAACACUGCAGUGUGUGCAGUUCCAGGAAUUCAGUUCCCUUUCAACAUAGCUACUCCAAUGCCCUGGGGGAAUGUCCUGUCUUUUGAGAAGUUCACCCAAAACAAUAACUGGCCCCUUCCAGGUUCCUGACCCUGUGCUAGUUACUGAUGGGAGCACUAAGGAUCAUCAUACGCAGUUCUUAUCUUUGUGGAAUACAUAAUCUGGAUGGAGACAGAAGGGGUGCUUCUCUCUGUUCCCUAAAAACACCCUAGCCUUCCUGCCUUCCAGGCUUUUUGCUGGCACUUUUGUCAGCCUAUAAAAUGCUCUCUCCUUUAUCUCUGACUAUGAAAGUCCCUGCAACCUUUGGGGUCCAUCCCAGCCACUGCCACCUGUGAAACUGUGUGCUUUGUGUCUCUGGCUGCUUGGUGUUAACAUGAUCUGGUGUUUGUUUCACCUCUCCCCCUAGAUUAGAGGCUUGGUGAGGGCAGGGCGUACUGCUUCACUCACGGUAGGCACCGAAUGGGUUAGUGUGGCCCCUGGCCCCUGGCCAGGCUGUGGCUCCCUUCUGGCUAGUGAGCGUAACAUAGACAGGCAGACCAGAAGGUCUAGGAACUAUAUCGUUUCCUGUUUGUCUCUACACGCCCAGCCGAACCAGAGGCCUCACUUCCUACCCACUUUUCCUGUUUGAUCCCUCGGCUUUGAUGUGGGUGAGUUAGCAAUCGAGGGAUUCACACACAGCUGGGUGUAAAUUAAACCCUUGUCCCUUUAACUCUAUUUUAAAUGCUUGGGAAGUAGGAUGAUGGGUGCAGGAACUUUGCCAUUUCAAGGAAUUUUGUGCAUCAUUUCACAAAGCUCCUUUCCCCCAAUCUACAACAUAGGCAAAUCCAAUGGCCAUUCAUAUACUGGGCUUGUUCAAGCAAAGCCCACCUGUGGUGACCUCAGAGAAACCAGAAUAUAGGUGCUCUUGUGCUCUAACCAGGUUCGAGCUCUUGAUGGGAGGAAUAUUCCAAUGGAGAACCUUCUUAAGGCUGAGAUUCUGGGUUUUCAUCAUUCAGAGCUGAAAGGGCUAUGGAGACCCUACAGCCUGGGCCACAGGGGCUCUCAAUAACAACGAGAAUCCAUUUGGGGUCAGAGAAGAGGACCAGUGGAGUGCAGUGGAAAAUGUUCUGCACUGAGCUCAUUUCUUUGGAGAUCCUUCCCAGCUCUGUGGCCACCUCUCCAGUUGACUAGAAGCUUCUCUCCUGCCACGUCUCUGCAAGUCUUCACCCUUAAGAGAGCAAAAGCCGCUUUGAGGACCAGCCAUGAAUGCUCCCCUGCUUUAGAAUGCUCUAAAGCUUUCAUUGAAGACACUGCACGUAUAACAUCACACGAUGUCCACUAAGGAAUGCCACCACGUGAGAAAUGGCUUUCAGCAGUUCAGAGUAGGAAAAACUUUAUCUUUUCCCCAGGAACUCCGAUGUCCUUUAGUUCUUUGUUCUAAAACAAACAACCAACAGGCAAACAAUCACUUUGUCUCCCCUGAGAGGAACUUCACCAUAAGAUAUGUAUCAUUUAUUGCAUUUCCCUCCCCGUGCUGUCUGGUGGAUGUGGUAGAUGGGCACUUGGCAUCCAUUUCCAACUCCUUCCCUGUGCCUUCCUGUACCUGAGGGGCUGGAAAGCUAACAAUGGCAUUUCCCGGAUUCCCCUGCUCCGAGGGUUCUGGAUUUAAAGAAGUUUCUGUCCGUAGGGCACUAAUGCACUCUCUGGACGUGAAAGUGGAGGGGAGACCAUCUUCACUCUGUUCUGGCUCUUGCUGGGAACCAGCGUGGUUUUGGGGUGUGGAUGUUCCUGCAGUCGUGACUUGACGUCCAGCCACAACCUCCAAGAGUGGUCUUGGCACAUUGGUGGGGUGGCAGUGCGUCCCUGAUCCUGGGGUUGGAGGUUAGAUGGUGUGUUCUUGACUUCAAUAAUUCUGUGUGAUGGUCUUCGGUUCUCUGUCAUCCUGAUGACGGCAGAGGUGGGAGCUCCCUUGGCAGGUAGGUUGCAUGGCGAGAUUCUGAUCAUCCUGUCUGACAGCCCAGCCUGGAGCCUUUUUAUCCCCCGCUCUUUCCAUGACCCAUUCUGUAAGCACAAAUUCCUUGUGUUACACUGUCUUUGUUUAAUAAACAAAUGAGCAAGAAGGGAUUGUUUCCUUUUUUAAAAAAUUCUUUUUUAAUGUUUAUUUCUGACAGAGCGCACAUGAGUGUGUGUGCACCAGCAGGGGAGGGGCAGAGAGAGAGAGGGGGAGACACAGACUCUGAGGCAGGCUCCAGGCUCUGAGCUGUUGGCACAGAACCCAAUGCAGGGCUUGAACUCACGAACUGUGAGAUUGUGACCUGAGCUGAAGUCAGAUGCCCAACUGACUGAGCCACCCAGGCACCCCUUCCUAUUCUUGAUCUCUGACUAAUACUCCUCGGUUACCAGCAUAUGCUUGGAUCCAAGUCAUCUUGCCCUUUGCUCCUCAGUGAAGCUUGAAGGGUCUGAGCCUCAGUUUCCACAUGUAUAGCUCUGUGAUAGUAGUAAUCUCAUUGUAUUGUAUCCUUGAAUCCCUCACUAUGGGCUCCAGUCUCCUUCCAUGACUAACAUCUGUUUGAGGUUUUACAGCUUGUCAAGCCUUUCCCCUGUUAUCACUUGACCCUCACAACCACCCUAGGAGGUCAAUAGGGAAUGUUGUUAGAAUUACAAGACUACAAGGUAAUUGCCAAGGCAGAGAGAGGCAUGUGCAAAAUGUGGCCAGAGAAUGGGUGGAAUGCUUCGGGUUGCUUGGGGCAAUCAGACAAGGCUUUAGGAGGACCUGGUGCCUGAGCAAACUUUGAAGAAUGAGAUGUCUAAAGGGAGAUAGGCAGGGGAAGACUUUACCAGCAGAGGGAAAGCAUGUGCAAAGGCCGGUGGGGUGCACAUUCAGGGGAGUCUGUGAGUGUGAGUUCAGGGCUGUUGGAGUGGAGAGUAGGAGGGAUGGGCUAGAGACGAGGCAGGUGUGGAGGACCCAUGUGAAGUCCUGGCAUUCCUGACUGAAAGGGUUCAGAUUUGCCCUGUAGGUGGCUGAGAAGCAGGGGAACAACCUGAUGGAGCAACCAUGUUGGGACAGCAUCGAGGGUGGGCUAGAGGGGUGAGACCAGUAUGGGUGGAAACAAGGGGGCUGGUGAAUGAUCUGAUGUGGAGCAUGAGAGAGGGAGGGGUGAUGUGGGUUCCUCCCUGUUUCUGGCUUUGAUGGUUGGGCAGGUAGUGCUCACUGAGAAAGGGAACUCUGGAAGAGGAGCAGAUUUGGACAUAUUGAAUUUGAGAUUAUCUGGUAACUAGCUAGCUACAUGGCUCUGAAACUUGGGGGAGAGAGUUCUGUCUGAAUGUAUGAAGUUUAGGUAAGUCUAUGUUCAGGUGGUGGUCAGAGCCUUGAGUGAUGACCUUGUUUAAGGAGAGUGAGAGGACUAGGGAAGAGGGGGAAUUAAAGAUAGAGCUGGGAGGACCAUCCGUACUUAAUGGGAGAGAAACCUGUAAAUAAGCAGGGAUGAGUGGCCAGAGAUGAAGAGGGGAGAAAACUGAAGGAGAGAGGUUCAAGGAAGAUGCAGUGGUCAGCAGUGUCCCAGUUGCAGAGAGAUCCAAAAAGGUGAAGACUAGAACGUUCCCUUUGGACCUGGCAGAAAUUCACUGGUGACCUUGGUAAUUCAAUUCAUUUGUAACAAAUACUUACUGAAUGCUUACUAUGUGGCAGGCACUGUUCUUAGACUUUGGGGUAUUAUCAGUAAAUGAUCUCAUUCUAGUGAGGGGAGACAGCUAAUAAAGAACAAACAUAACAAAUAAGUAUUUUUAUAGCAUGCCAAGAAGGUGGUAAGUGCUAUAAAGGAAAAAAAAAAGCUGAAAAUAUAAGGGGAAAAUCAGGAAUGUUGGACAGAGGUUGCAAUUUUAAAUAUGGUGGCCAGAAAGUUACAUGUGAGCAAAGACUUGAAAGUGGUGAAAAGUUGACCAUGUAACGAUCUGGGGGAAAAGUAUUUCAGAUGAAAGGCAUAGCCAGUGAAUAGGCCUUAAGGUGGGAUGUGCCUGACAUGUUCUAGGAAUAGCGAAGAAGCCAGCAUGGCUGGAGGGAAAGGAGUGAGUGAGGGGAAAAUAGUGGGAGAUAACAUCAAGGAGAUAAGGUGUAGGGUGGAGGCCUCUUUCAGGACUUAGCAGACCUGGGGAGGACUUUGACUUUGAGGAGCAACUGGGGGCUUUUGAGCCAAAGAAUGACACAGUCUAACUUACACUUUUAAAAAGAUAAUUCUGGGGUGCCUGGGUGGCUCAUUCAGUUAAAGCGUCCGACUUCAGCUCAGGUCAUGAUCUCACAAUCUGUGAGUUCAAGCCCCAUGUCGGGCUCUAUGCUCACAGCUCAGAGCCUGGAGCCUGCUUUGGAUUCUGUGUCUCCCCCUCUCUGCCUCUGCCCUGCUCACGCUCUGUCUCUCUCAGAAAGCGAAUAAACGUUAAAAAAAAUAUUAAAAAAUUUCUGGCUACUGCAUUGACAACAGACUAUAGGGAGGGUAGGGUAGCAGCAGGGAAACCUGUUGCAAUGACCCAGGCAAGAGACGAUGGUAUCUUAAGUCAGGAUGGUGGCACUGGCAGUGGUCAAAUGGGUCAGAUUCUGGAUAUAUGUUGAAGGUAGAGCCAACAGAAUGCCUGAUGAAUUGGGCCGUGGGGUAUGGGAGAAAGAAAAGGAUUACUUCAAAUCUCUCAUGUUACCAGUUCCUCAUGCUGUUUCCCUCAACUGAGAUGGUGGGAAUUGUAGGGGAAGAAGGUUUGGGUUCAAAGAUCGGAGGUUUAAUUUGGGGCAUGUUGAGUUUGAACUGCCCACUACACACUUGAAUGUGGAUAUUGACUAGGCAUUUUCAGUGGUGUGGGAGGAGGUGGAAGCCAGAUUAUCCCCCUUGGGGGAGUGGAUUGGAGUUGUGUAAGUGGAGGCUGAAAUAGAGACUGUAUGUCCUAGAAACCUGGCUAUGGGAGGAAAGUGUAUUGUAUGUGAACGUGAGGGGAUGGAUAGGUGGAAGAAUUUUAUUUUUCUUUUAAGAGGUGUAAGUGUGUUCACAGAAGUGAAGAAUCGAGUGAGAACCCAUAGGUUUUUGAUCCUAGAAGAGAAAUUGUUCCUGAUGGCUCCAACUCCUUAAAGAAGUCAGUGAUAAUGGGUACAUCUGGGCAUCAGGAAUACCUUUUCUUCUGAGAAGGGGUAAUGCUGAGCACAGAUGUAGAUAGAUAGGUUUCUUGGUAGUAGCAAGGAAGCUGAGAGAUUUUAAUUUACGUUUCUGCAAAAGAAGAAUUUGGUUCAACAAGGAGAGAAGGGAGUG